ACUCACUUCGGCGAUGCAUAUACUAAAAUUUGAACUAUGCAGAGAAGAUUAGCAUGCCCUCUGCACAAGGAUGACAGGCAGAAUCGUGCAGCCUUCCGCAUUUUU
rnacentral:snRNA from 1 species